AAUAUAGAAACAAAUUUUAGCCGUUUUGAUACCAACCUAGCAGAGAUCGCCUCUGGUUCUGAAGUACAAAUGUCUUGUUUUCAAAAGUUCUGAAUUAAAAUCUUCCACCAAACCUUA